CGGGGUGUAGCUUAGCCUGGUAGAGCGCCUGGUUUGGGACCAGGAGGUCGCGAGUUCGAAUCUCGCCGCCCCGA
rnacentral:tRNA from 1 species